GAGGAUCUAACUGGGAGAGAGGACAAGACGGUUCUGGAUGAAAUUAGACUGGUUGGAAGGUAGUAGUGGGUUGGCAUUGUCAUCCCUCUCCAAUUUUUCCCUUCUCUAUUUUAUUCUCUUCUCUUCUAUUUCAUUCAUUCUUCAUAGCAAUCUUUUAUUUCAUUUCAUUUUCUUUUUAGAAAACACAACACACACACACUCACUGUCUACUCUCUAUCUAGUUUCUUGGAAACACAGUCUCACAAUCUCUGUACACAAACUUCUCAGUUUCUUUUCUUUGAUUCUGACGAACCCACAAGAACAGGAUUGACAUAGUUGCUGGAGCUGAAGUUUGAAGAUGACGGUGACGGUGACGAUGAUGAUGAUGAUGAGUAGUCUUUUUUGAGAGAUGUUCUCAAAGAGUUCACUGAACUUUUGAUCUCCUCAUUUUAGGUAGUCGGAUUUUCCUACUUACACUGACCUUUCUGGUUCUCAAAAGUGAUUUGGGUUGCUGAUAAGAGUAUCGGAUCUGGGUUAAAGUGGGAAGAGUGGUUGAUUUGUUAUCUUAGUUGGAAAAUUCGUCGAAAAGAUGAAGAGAUGGAAUUGUAGGCAUUGUUUGCAGUAGGUUGCGAGCUGCCAAACUCAUCUGGAUGCUUGAAAAUGAAAGCAUCAAACCAGAGAUAGAACAAAACUAGGAGCAAAAGCGUUAUGGAAUGACACCCCUCAAGAAACCUGUGGAUCUUCAGAGAUUGAAUGAAUUGGUGUCAAUUGGGAACAUCUUGCAAAAUCCAUUAUGGUUCUGGAUCUAUAUUUGGCUUCUUCAGCCAAGAUAAUGUGAGAGUUGGAGAUGUUAUCAUCAAAGAUCAAGUGCAUGAUUGUUUGUAUCAAAUUUCAUGUUGUGUUAUUACUAUAUUC